rnacentral:misc_RNA from 1 species
AAGUCGUAACAAGGUCUCCGUAGGUGAACCUGCGGAGGGAUCAUUACAGAGUUGCAAAACUCCCUAAACCCAUGUGAAUUUACCUGAAAUUUGUUGCUCUGGCAGGCGGCCCCAGGGCGGGGCCUGACGUCUCCUAGCGAGGCGGCCUGCCAGAGGACCGAAGACUCUGUCACGUUUGGUAUUACUCUGAGUUAAAAACAUAAUCAGUCAAAACCUUCAACAACGGAUCUCUUGGUUCUG